GUAUAAUCCUUCCAACUUCGGCCCUAAUAAAGGUAGCCAUGGAUGCACCCAGACAUGUAUUGCUACAGUCUCCCGGCGAGGAUCCCAUGAGUCAACAGCAGUUGACAGCUUUGGUAGGACUAUGUGAUCCAAUAUGCUGUGAUAAACUGAAGAUGGCAAGAGCUUCUCCCAUGUCUCUAGAAAUCUAAGCAUUGUCUCAGGGUCUCGAGGCUCCCAAGUGUUAAUACCGGCUAUUCUAACUGCGGGUAAGACUACUUCCGAGACUAACUGUGUAUAGGGCGUCCCGAUAUCCCAUAUAUUGUGGGAUUCAUCGCCACCUUGAAGUAAAAUUUUCCAGGACUCGAUCAGUUUAUAUCCAUGCAUUGGAUUUCUAAAAGGAUCCCAUCCCUGAAACACUCUGAUAAACAAAGGCAGAGCAAACGAGCAUGCAAUGCAGGGCAAGUUGGCCAUCUUAUACUCAUCUGCAAAUUUCAUCCGAAGCUCAUUAAAGCAUUCACCAAGACUGUCCAGGGUUAAAGUUCCCAAUGAUUUUUGCUCUUCAAUGUGGCUUAAGACGGUCAUAAUCUCCUUCAUGCUAUCUAGUUGCUCCUUUUGGCGUGAAGCAUCUUUCUCCAACUUCUCCUUCUCCGUCUGCAAGGCAAUCGCUGUAUCCCUUUCUCUCCUCAAAUCACUGUCGAUUUUCUGGAUAUCAGCCUCUACCAUGUCUACAAUCAACCUAACGUUGUACUGAAGCUCCGGCAUCGGAAUAUCACUGUCCCUUGCCUGUUCUUCUGCAUUCAGAUUCUCUAGAUUCGUCAACACUCUAACCUGAGGACCCCUCAUAUCAAUCACCUUCUGAGUAAUCUCAAACCCCUGUUCUUCCUUCUGAUCCAGGAGCUCCUUAGCUGUAACAUACCUCUCUUCUUUCUUUUUCUUCCCCUGAAGCCACAUCUUCUCUUUAGACCUUCUAACCGACUGACUUUGGCUCUGAUUUACAGCCUUCUUCUCCUCCGCCUGAGGAACCUUCACAUCCACCACCUCUUUAUAAUCGUUGAAUCCUAAACCAGUUUGCUUCGGCCUCAACUUUGCUUCGAUCGGAGCAACAAUACCUUGCUCGUUCUUCCCCAACCCACCUCCUUUGUACCCCAUCUUCUCAAGCAACUUUGAUCCUAUCCCUUUUGUAUGCUUCUCGAAGCCAACAUCAUCCUUCCUCUUCCCUCCUUUUUCAUCCUUCUUCUUCUUCAACCUCUCUUUCUCCCUCUCCCGCCUUUCCUUGAUACUCCUACCAAAUUCCAGCGGCAAAGACUUAAGCACAGCAUCUUCAUCACUAUCAUUACCAUCCUUGCGUCCCAAUCCUUCACCGCCGGAAUUAAAACCUAAUCCAGAACCAGCGCCCAAACCUGCCCUACCGCUACUGCCAUCAUCAUCCUCCGGAGCAAACAUAUCCUCGUCCUUAACAACAUCGUUAUCAACCUCUCUAGAGUUCUUAUCGAGUUCUUUGUUAGGCAUAACAGUACCUGUGGAGACGAAGUUGACAGGCUUGGUGAGAUCGCGAUCGCGGUCUUUGUCUUUCCUCCGCUUCCUCCUCCCGCCUUGCUCGUCGGAGUCGGAUGAGUUCGCCUGGAACCCGCCGUAGAGAACGUCGUCUUUCGUCUGGACGGACUUCCUCUCCCUCCGCUUCUUGUAGUAGAACUCGCCGCCUCUCCACUCGCCCCCUUCGAAGUCGUUGUCCGUCCCGAAGUUCUCCAUCUCCUGGUCCUCGUCCAUCUCUCAGAAACGACGGCAAAUGAACACAAAGAUCUCAGGCGAGCAGCUCCCGGAGGUAGAGAGAUUAUUGAAUUCCAACGACGAGAUUUCACCAACGGGAGAGUAUUUGGGAUUUAGGGCUUUGUUGGUUUGAAUUGAAAGACGAAGAAGAAUUGCAGCGGUUAAUAGUAUACUUGGGAUACAUUUCGCUGCUUAAACUUUCAAAACUGUUCAUUCAAGUCCCUCUAAUUUUCUUUUAUGCACAUGGAGAAACCCAUCUUGGUCACUAUUCCCUCCACAAUCCAAAAGCAUCAAGGAGACUAUCCAUGGCGGAAGCUCGAUCAGAAGAGAAAAUCGUAAACAUAAAUGGAUUAAAGAACCACAAUGAAGAUUAAAUUGGCGACAAGCUAGAAUCCAAACUUCAAUAAAAAAAAUGGCGGCAAAAUUUCUGAAGUAGUAUUCAUCACAUAAGAAGUUAAAUCAAAAUUCCUGAGAAGCAGAUCUGAUAUCGCCCUUCCCGCCGGCCUUCUUAGGUGCUAUGGAUGUUGGGAAGAACUCCAGCGUUGGCGAUGGUCACCGAUCCCAAAAACUUGCUCAGCUCCUCAUCAUUCCUCACCGCCAAUUGGAUGUGCAUCGGGACGAUCCGAAUCUUCUUGUUAUCUCUGGCAGCAUUCCCAGCCAGUUCCAGAACCUAAGGAGAACAAAAAUCCCCACACUAAACAAAAUCAAUCGCAAGGCAUGAUAUGAAUUUGAUUCAAUCUCGAUCCGAUCCGAGAUCCUUAACCAUAAUGCAGACAUCAUUCGUAGAAGAACAUCACUAUAAUAAUAGUCCAGUAAAGUUUAGUUAAAGCUAUAAUAAUAGCCCAGUUAAAUGUCAUAACGUGUCAUGGAUUUAUGUGUUUGACAGGAAAGCGUAUUGGACCAUAACAUGUUGAGGAGGUGGAAGAACCUAUGGUUCAACUCGAUUGAAAAAUCCUCUAUUCCAAUAAGUCUCUUCUUUUCUUCAUAGUAAGAACACAACUUCAGUUUCUACAUCACACCCUAAACCCUUAGCAUACUAAGAAACAACAGUACACUGCAAUAUUCCAUUGCCCAACGCUUCCUCCUGCAGGACGAUAGCGCAUCAGUUCUCCUUGUCAGUAAGCCUCCAUUUCUGAUGUUAUGACAUUCUGGAUAAUCUUCUUACUCCGUAAACUCCGUUGAUUCCUUGGAUCGUAUAUGAUAGUGGGAUGGAUAAGAGCAAGGCUUGUCGUACCUCCAUCGCCUUGCUUCCCUUCAACAGAAGUAUGCAUCGAAUCAGCAGCCUUACUCCUCUCCUCUCCAGCAGCCUUCUUCUUAUCCUCUACAGCAGCCUUCUUUAUAUUUGCAGUCACCUUCUGCUUCUCCUCAGCUGCAGCCUUCUUCUUCUUCUUCACUGCAUCAGCCUUGUUUUUCGAUUCAUCAGCCUUCUUUUGCUCUUCGUCAUCAUUCUUAAUUUGUUCAUCCUGAAACCUAACCUUUUUGGGGCCUGCCUUAUUAAUGGUGGGGGCUUCUACGUUGGUGGACUUGUCGCUAUCGUUUCCAUCAUCAUCAGUACCUUCCUGGCCUUGUGUGGUGCCCGUUUCAUCAUUGUUGAUAUAUUCCUCGUUGUCUUCGGAAUCUACACUGACCAGUUGUUGCUUAGCUUCUCGUUUCUUCCUUGCCCCGACAUUCUUGUCCAUCAGCAUGGAAUCUACGAACCUCAACCGGACUCUCCAUGCUUCAAGUUCAGACCGACGAAGAUUGACAUAGGUUUCUAGGUGCGCCAACUGCACAUUGCAUUCACUAAACUGUCUGAAAGCCAACUGUUUCACCCGACCUGUCUCUAAAAACGUAGUAUGUAUGUAUUAAAUACAGAAUAAACGCGACGUAAAGUAUAGUUUGAAUACAAGAAAAUGGCAAAGAACAUUCGACCUCGGCAGGGUCUUCAACAUCACGGAGUGCUAUUAUCCAAGAAUCAGUGUCAUCCACAGUGUUACUAACGAUAAGCGAAUAUCAUUAGGGUGGAUGUCAUCGUCAAUUUCGUCCUCUGAAGGGGCAUCGACCCACGCAAUGACUUUCGAUUUCAAAGACGCCGCGACUACAUCCCUUUUAUCCAAUCAACACGUAAUUCGCCCAUUUUCUUCCUUCAAAAUGGCCGCCACAGCCUUGAUUUGUGCAUCAUCCCAAUGGAAGCAAGUGGGACGCUCAGUUGCACGGAACUUCUCCACCAUCAACAUAUCAAGCAGGUGCAUCUACAAAUACAAGUAACCAAAAUUUUGUGAACAACCAGACAAUAUUAUGUGUAAAUUAAACGUAGCCUAUAGUAAUAGUAACUCACCACCGCGCAAUUGAUGUCUCCGGACCAUGCGAACUGCGUCCAUAAUAAAGUUAGCCAUGGAUGCACCCAGACAUGGAUUGCUACAGUCUCUUGCCGAGGAUCCCAUGAGUCCACAGCAGUUGACAGCUUUGGUAGGACUAUGUGAUCCAAUAUGCUGUGAUAAACUGAAGAUGGCAAGAGCUUCUCCCAUGUCUCUAGAAAUCUAAGCAUUGUCUCGGGGUCUCGAGGCUCCCAAGU
rnacentral:lncRNA from 1 species